UCUGAACCCAGACCUGUCUCCCACAGCCAAUUUACACCUCUUAUCUGAUCAUCCAGUCCAGACGGAAGGAAGAAAUUCAGCCGGAGCCGCAGAAGCCGCAACGCAUAUGGGCAAGAUCCCCUAAAACUUGGUCUGGAAAGCUGAUUCCCGAAGGUUCCCCAACCCAGAUGAUUCCCAGAGGGGCGACAAGUCUAUUCCAAAUCCCUCCCCCACCUCCAAACACUAGGGCUACCGGCGCCCGCCACCCAGCCGCUGGACGCCUGCGACCCGGUGGGAAAGACCCCCGGCACAGCCAGCCCGAGUCGAAGGGCGGGGGCAGCCCUUCAAUCAGAGCGCGCCUUGCCUCCAUUAACUUGUGUUGAUAUUAAAAAGAAAUCAAUCAGUGAAAAUGAAGCA
rnacentral:lncRNA from 1 species